rnacentral:rRNA from 1 species
AUUGAACGCUGGCGGCGUGCCUAACACAUGCAAGUCGAGCGGUAACAGGUGUAGCAAUACAUGCUGACGAGCGGCGGACGGGUGAGUAACGCUUGGGAAUCUGCCUAUUAGUGGGGGACAACCCGGGGAAACUCGGGCUAAUACCGCAUACGCUCUACGGAGGAAAGCCGGGGACCGCAAGGCCUGGCGCUAAUAGAUGAGCCCAAGUCGGAUUAGCUAGUUGGUAGGGUAAUGGCCUACCAAGGCGACGAUCCGUAACUGGUCUGAGAGGACGACCAGUCACACCGGAACUGAGACACGGUCCGGACUCCUACGGGAGGCAGCAGUGGGGAAUAUUGGACAAGUGGGCGAAAGCCUGAUCCAGCGACGCCGCGUGGGUGAAGAAGG